UGCCAGCCGCCGCGGUAAUACGGAGGGUGCAAGCGUUAAUCGGAAUUACUGGGCGUAAAGCGCGCGUAGGCGGUUAAGCAAGUCAGAUGUGAAAGCCCCGGGCUCAACCUGGGAACUGCAUUUGAAACUGUUUAACUAGAGUACAGUAGAGGAGAGGGGAAUUUCCAGUGUAGCGGUGAAAUGCGUAGAGAUUGGAAGGAACACCAGUGGCGAAGGCGACUCUCUGGACUGAUACUGACGCUGAGGAACGAAAGCAUGGGUAGCAAACAGGAUUAGAUA
rnacentral:rRNA from 1 species